GACGAACGCUGGCGGCGUGCCUAAUACAUGCAAGUAGAACGCUGAAGGAGGAGCUUGCUUCUCCGGAUGAGUUGCGAACGGGUGAGUAACGCGUAGGUAACCUGCCUGGUAGUGGGGGAUAACUAUUGGAAACGAUAGCUAAUACCGCAUAAUAGCAGUUGUUGCAUGAUAACUGUUUGAAAGGUGCAAUUGCACCGCUACCAGAUGGACCUGCGUUGUAUUAGCUAGUUGGUGGGGUAACGGCUCACCAAGGCGACGAUACAUAGCCGACCUGAGAGGGUGAUCGGCCACACUGGGACUGAGACACGGCCCAGACUCCUACGGGAGGCAGCAGUAGGGAAUCUUCGGCAAUGGACGGAAGUCUGAACGAGCAACGCCGCGGGAGUGAAGAAGGGUUUCGGAUCGUAAAGCUCUGUUGUAAGAGAAGAACGAGUGUGAGAGUGGAAAGUUCACACUGUGACGGUAUCUUACCAGAAAGGGACGGCUAACUACGUG
rnacentral:rRNA from 1 species